CCUACGGGAGGCUGCAGUGGGGAAUAUUGGACAAUGGGGGCAACCCUGAUCCAGCCAUGCCGCGUGUGUGAAGAAGGCCCUCGGGUUGUAAAGCACUUUCAGUGAGGAAGAACGCCUGGUGGUUAAUACCCAUCAGGAAAGACAUCACUCACAGAAGACGCACCGGCUAACUCCGUGCCAGCAGCCGCGGUAAUACGGAGGGUGCGAGCGUUAAUCGGAAUUACUGGGCGUAAAGCGCGCGUAGGUGGCUUGAUAAGCCGGUUGUGAAAGCCCCGGGCUCAACCUGGGAACGGCAUCCGGAACUGUCAAGCUAGAGUGCAGGAGAGGAAGGUAGAAUUCCCGGUGUAGCGGUGAAAUGCGUAGAGAUCGGGAGGAAUACCAGUGGCGAAGGCGGCCUUCUGGACUGACACUGACACUGAGGUGCGAAAGCGUGGGUAGCAAACAGGAUUAGAUACCCGAGUAGUC
rnacentral:rRNA from 1 species